AUGGAGGAUUUCCAAGCUGCAAAUUCCCCAAAGAACUCUGGAUUUCCUGCACUACCAGCAAAUUUUACAAGACAAACUCCUCUCAGAAUAGCAAAUGUGAAUCUGAAUGAAAACAUUAACCGUUUCUUUGAUUUUACAUUUGGCCGUGAACUUAAAGAACCUCUACUGAAUAAGUCAAAUAAAAGUAAGUCUAGGAUCCCAGGAAUUAGAACAUAUAAUCUUCAAAGCAUCCAUGUACAAAGAACUCUUAGGCAAGCCAAAGGAGCAUCAACUAAUCUAAACCGUUUGGUGCAUCACAGUGCUACUUCUAAGACCAGCCAACUAAAUCAGAGCAACCAGCAGGAAGCCAGCCAGUAGCCUCUCCCAGCUAAAUCAACCAUAAGAUUCAGUAGUAACUGUGAAAAUGAGAGAAAUUACAGGAAAAAUUCUUCCUUGGGAUUACUACACAGCCUUGAGUGGUGUUACAGAAGUGGCAUUUUGUACUUUCAUUUUAAUGCUGUGAUUGUGAAUGCAUAAUGAAUUAUAUGAAAUGUCAAUUAAGUAAUGAAAUUAUUUAAUUCAAUGAAGCAACCAUUUACACACAUAUAGAAUAUCUGGAUCCCUUGGGACUCAGAGAUCCCUUUGUCUUGUUCUAACUCACACCAGUAUAAAUCAGGAGUCAACCUUCUGAAUUUAGUUGACAGGAAGUCUGAAUUCAAUAUGAUUUCUUCAUAUUUGUACUGGAAAAAUACAUAGAGUCAGAUCUCUCCAUCUUUACUAUGUAGUGGUGUUUUCUUCCAAGAUCUUCAUAAUCUUAAUUACUGUUCAAUUUUUACUAAACUGGGAAAAUAUCAUGGGUUACAGUACAGUACACUUUCUUGAAAAGGUGAGGAACUAAAAAACAACAAUAUCAGUGCGUGCCAGAUCAAGGUUUUCUGCUGGUAAAUUUACUGUGCAAAUUUUUCUUUUGCUGUUCAGAAAUACGCUUUUAGACAAUUCCAAAAAUUGGUUAUAACACAUGCCUUUACUAUACCUAUAGAACCUAUCUCAUAUAUAUCUGUGUGUAUUUGUGUGUGUGCAUGAACUGAUGUAAGGAAUAGCAACGGAAUUAAAUCUGAGUGUAAAUUACGGACUUCAAUAUUGCACCUUUUAGAAAAAAUGCAUUUCACUUUUCAGAUUAUUUUUAAAAAAUAUAAGAUUGCACUGCUAUACAUGACAAAAUUAUAGACGUUAUAUAUCUGCUCAUUUCUAAUAAAAUUCUAACUAUUUUAAAAGUAAUUGUUGGUAAUUUACCAUAUUACUCUGAAAUUAAAGGACUUAGAUGUCCUAUCUUUAAUCUAGAGUACUGUCUUUAAUAUCAGAGCUUACUUGCAGUCUUGGUAAAUUUUCCAUAGCAUUUUCACCUUUCAGGUUAAAUUAAAUGGCUGCUGAAGGUAGGUAUUUAUUUAUUUCUAAAAUUUUCUAUGCUAAAUUUGGAAACAAACAUCACAUUUCUAUUAGCCGUAUGCUUUAUUUUUUAUUUUUUUUUAUAAUCUAGAAUAUUACAACUUUUUGUUUGUUUGUUUCUCCUAGGUGAUUUGAAAGAGCUUUUUAGUGUUAAUUUCACUUACAAGUAUAUGCCAGGUAGUAAGUGUGAAGGUUGUUAGCAGACACGGGCAUUUGUGCAGUCAGGUCCCCUUUCUGGCUGGUAAGUUUUCUUUGUCUCUUGUGCGGUUUGCUGGACAGCCACAAGGUGUCUUUGUUGUACUGUUGAUUUUCUAGAUCAGGGCCGCUGUGCCUGCACUACCCAGAAUAACAGAUUCUCUCUUCAGACGGGUUAAGGCAGCUUUGCACCAGAAAGAGCCACAGCUGUUGGUCCCAUUCUUGCAUUUUACAAGGCAAGAAAAAGCCAGUUGUAGUGUUGCAGAGCUCAACAGGAGUUUGUGGUGGUGGCACAGACAUUGGGAAGGUUCUUGUUUUCUGAGUAAUUU
rnacentral:lncRNA from 1 species